GGGAAGUAAAAAGUCGUAACAAGGUCUCCGUAGGUGAACCUGCGGAGGGAUCAUUACACAAUAAAAUAUGAAGGCUGUACGCGGCUGUGCUCUCGGGCCAGUUUUGCGGAGGCUGAAUUAUUUAUUACCCUUGUCUUUUGCGCACUUGUUGUUUCCUGGGCGGGUUCGCCCGCCACCAGGACCACAUCAUAAACCUUUUUUAUGCAGUUGCAAUCAGCGUCAGUAUAACAAAUGUAAAUCAUUUACAACUUUCAACAACGGAUCUCUUGGUUCUGGCAUCGAUGAAGAACGCAGCGAAAUGCGAUACGUAGUGUGAAUUGCAGAAUUCAGUGAAUCAUCGAAUCUUUGAACGCACAUUGCGCCCUUUGGUAUUCCAAAGGGCAUGCCUGUUCGAGCGUCAUUUGUACCCUCAAGCUUUGCUUGGUGUUGGGCGUUUUUUGUCUUUGGUUGCCAAAGACUCGCCUUAAAAGGAUUGGCAGCCGGCCUACUGGUUUCGCAGCGCAGCACAUUUUUGCGCUUGCAAUCAGCAAAAGAGGACGGCAAUCCAUCAAGACUCCUUCUCACGUUGACCUCGGAUCAGUACGUCCG
rnacentral:rRNA from 1 species